rnacentral:rRNA from 1 species
CAGCAGCCGCGGUGAUACGUAGGGUGCGAGCGUUGUCCGGAUUUAUUGGGCGUAAAGAGCUUGUAGGCGGUUUGUCGCGUCGGGAGUGAAAACUCAGUGCUUAACACUGAGCCUGCUUCCGAUACGGGCAGACUUGAGGAAGGUAGGGGAGAUUGGAAUUCCUGGUGAAGCGGUGGAAUGCGUAGAUAUCAGGAGGAACACCAGUGGCGAAGGCGGAUCUCUGGACCUUUCCUGACGCUGAGAAGCGAAAGCGUGGGGAGCAAACAGGCUUAGAUACCCUGGUAGUCCACGCCGUAAACGGUGGGUACUAGGUGUGGGGUUCAUUCCACGAACUCCGUGCCGCAGCUAACGCAUUAAGUACCCCGCCUGGGGAGUACGGCCGCAAGGCUAAAACUCAAAGGAAUUGACGGGGCCCCGCACAAGCGGCGGAGCAUGCGGAUUAAUUCGAUGCAACGCGAAGAACCUUACCUGGGUUUGACAUAUACCGGAAACAUCUAGAGAUAGGUGCCCCUUUAUGGUCGGUAUACAGGUGGUGCAUGGCC